UCGGAGAGUUUGAUCCUGGCUCAGGAUGAACGCUGGCGGCGUGCUUAACACAUGCAAGUCUAACGGUUUCUCCCGCAUGAAGCUUCGGCCGAUUGCGGGUUGAGAAAGUGGCGAACUGGUGAGUAACACAUGGGUAACCUACCCCUCGGAUUGGGAUAACAGCUCGAAAGGGCUGCUAAUACAGAUAUGCUCACAGAGCCGCAUGGCUCGGUGAGGAAAGGCGGCCUCUGCUUGCAAGCGGCCACCGAGGGAGGGGCCUGUGGCCCAUUAGCUAGUUGGCGGGGUAACGGCCCACCAAGGCUACGAUGGGUAGCUGGUCUGAGAGGGCGACCAGCCACAUUGGGACUGAGAUACGGCCCAGACUCCUACGGGAGGCAGCAGUGAGGAAUUUUCCGCAAUGGACGAAAGUCUGACGGAGCGACGCCGCGUGGGUGAUGAAGGUCUUCGGAUCGUAAAGCCCUGUCGGGGGGGAAGAACCCCGUCGUAGUUAAUAGCUGCGACGGCUGACGGUACCCCCUAUAGGAAGCGCCGGCCAACUACGUGCCAGCAGCCGCGGUAAUACGUAGGGCGCAAGCGUUAUCCGGAUUCAUUGGGCGUAAAGAGCUCGUAGGCGGUUGGGUAAGUCACAUGUUAAAGAUCCGGGCUUAACCCGGGGAAUGCGUGUGAUACUGCCCGGCUAGAGGACGGGAGAGGGAAAUGGAAUUCCUGGUGUAGCGGUGAAAUGCAUAGAUAUCAGGAAGAAUACCAAUGGCGAAGGCAGUUUCCUGGACCGUUUCUGACGCUGAGGAGCGAAAGCUAGGGGAGCGAACAGGAUUAGAUACCCUGGUAGUCCUAGCUGUAAACGAUGGGCGCUAGGUGUGGGAGGUAUCGACCCCUCCUGUGCCGAAGCUAACGCAUUAAGCGCCCCGCCUGGGGAGUACGGUCGCAAGAUUAAAACUCAAAGGAAUUGACGGGGGCCCGCACAAGCGGUGGAGCAUGUGGUUUAAUUCGACGCAACGCGAAGAACCUUACCUAGGUUUGACAUCCCGAGAAUCCUCUUGAAAAAGGGGAGUGCCCUUCGGGGAACUUGGUGACAGGUGCUGCAUGGCUGUCGUCAGCUCGUGCCGUGAGGUGUUGGAUUAAGUUCCGCAACGAGCGCAACCCUUAUCCCUAUUUGCCAUCAUUAAGUUGGGAACUAUAGGGAAACUGCCAGUUUAUGACUGGAGGAAGGUGGGGAUGACGUCAAGUCAGCAUGGCCUUUAUGCCUAGGGCUACACACGUGCUACAAUGGUCGGUACAACGGGUCGCAACACUGCGAAGUGAAGCCAAUCCCUUAAAGCCGGCCCUAGUUCGGAUUGGAGUCUGCAAUUCGACUCCAUGAAGUUGGAAUCGCUAGUAACCGCGGAUCAGCACGCCGUGGUGAAUACGUUCUCGGGCCUUGUACACACCGCCCGUCACACCACCCGAGUCGGGUGCACCCGAAGUCGCUGACCUAACCCGCAAGGGAAGGAAGCGCCUAAGGUGUGCCUGGUGAGGAGGGUGAAGUCGUAACAAGGUAGCCGUAGCGGAAGCUGCGGCUGGAUCACCUCCUUU
rnacentral:rRNA from 1 species